rnacentral:rRNA from 1 species
AUUGAACGCUGGCGGCAGGCCUAACACAUGCAAGUAGAGCGGAGCGGCGGACGGGCGCGUAAUGCAUAGGAAUCUGCCUGGUAGUGUGGGAUAACGUCCGGAAACGAGCGCUAAUACCGCAUACUAUCAGAUGAGCCUAGGUCGGGUUAGCUAGUUGGGGGGGUAAAGGCCUACAAAGGCGACGAUCGGUAACUGGUCUGGGAGGAGGAUCAGUCACACGGGAAAUGGAAAACGGUCCAGCCUCCUAGGGUAGGCAGAAGUGGGAAAUUUUGGACAAGGGGAGAAAGCUUAAUCCAGCCAUGCCGCGUGUGGGAAGAAGGUUUUCGGAUGGUAAAGCACUUUAAGUGGGGAGGCGUUACCAACAGAAUAAGCACCGGCUAACUUCGUGCCAGCAGCCGCGGUAAUAC